rnacentral:rRNA from 1 species
AUUGAACGCUGGCGGCAGGCCUAACACAUGCAAGUCGAACGGUAACAGGAAACAGCUUGCUGUUUCGCUGACGAGUGGCGGACGGGUGAGUAAUGUCUGGGAAACUGCCUGAUGGAGGGGGAUAACUACUGGAAACGGUAGCUAAUACCGCAUAACGUCGCAAGACCAAAGAGGGGGACCUUCGGGCCUCUUGCCAUCAGAUGUGCCCAGAUGGGAUUAGCUAGUAGGUGGGGUAACGGCUCACCUAGGCGACGAUCCCUAGCUGGUCUGAGAGGAUGACCAGCCACACUGGAACUGAGACACGGUCCAGACUCCUACGGGAGGCAGCAGUGGGGAAUAUUGCACAAUGGGCGCAAGCCUGAUGCAGCCAUGCCGCGUGUAUGAAGAAGGCCUUCGGGUUGUAAAGUACUGUCAGCGGGGAGGAAGGGAGUAAAGUUAAUACCUGUGCUCAUUGACGUUACCCGCAGAAGAAGCACCGGCUAACUCCGUG